GUGCUGUAGCCAAGUGGUAAGGCGUGGGACUGCAACUCCCUGAUCAUCGGUUCAAAUCCGUUCAGCA
rnacentral:tRNA from 2 species